rnacentral:rRNA from 1 species
GAUGAACGCUGGCGGCGUGCCUAACACAUGCAAGUCGAGCGAAACACUUAGGUCCGAUUCUUCGGAUGAAGACCUAUUUGAUUGAGCGGCGGACGGGUGAGUAACGCGUGGGUAACCUGCCUCAUACAGGGGGAUAGCAGUUGGAAACGACUGAUAAUACCGCAUAAGCGCACAGCAUCGCAUGAUGCAGUGUAAAAAACUCCGGUGGUAUGAGAUGGACCCGCGUCUGAUUAGCUAGUUGGUGGGGUAAAAGCCUACCAAGGCGACGAUCAGUAGCCGGCCUGAGAGGGUGAACGGCCACAUUGGGACUGAGACACGGCCCAA